UUAUUGGUAAAAUGUUAAAAUAAAUAUUUGAGAUUACUAAUAAAAAUUAAGUAAUAUUACUCGAAAUGUUUGAGACGUUUCAUUGGGCAUGCGCAAUGAUGCACAACUCCCCUCCCCCACACUUUGCUGAAGCUCAUGGACUGAAGAUGGUUUCAGCAUCCACCGAUUAAGUGGACUUUCAUCUGAUGUAACUUGUGUGCACACUACAGUACUUCAUGGCCUUCCAAUCCUCCUGGGGGUGAUUCUAUGGAAUUUUUCAGGACAUACUUUGAUUCAGAUGUGAAUGUAGACCUGAGUGCAGCUGAUGUUGGCCUGCUCACAGUUUUACCAGAAGACAUGCCUGCCCAAACUCCACAUGCCCUUAAUGUCAACUCAUUAAUAAUAGUAUUAUUAAUGAUUAAUACUCAUUAAUAGUAUUCUCGAGGGAAAAAUUGUGGUUGGUGAUGUCCCAAACUUGCCACAUGCUGUAUGUUUUUCACAAAUGAAAUGUUACAAAGAUUUAAAAUUAUUAUUUUUUUUAAGUGUUUUUGCAGUUAUUUGAUGUCAAGUGGCAGUUAUUGAUUAGGUCUCCAUGCUAUUUAAGUAGAAGUAUAUAUUUAGUAUUUCUUCUGCAUUGUUCUUAAAACUCUGUUUAUUGUUUAUUUAAAAAAUUCAGAGUUUUAGAUUGUGAUGAGUGUCUUUUGUCUUUUCUGUUAGCAGUACUGGGGGGAAAAAAUCGUUCACUUUACCUUAAAAAACUUUGGAAACUGAUUGCACAUAGUUUAUGUUGUCAUUACUUAAAAUGGAAUAUUAACUUAAUAUAGUAGGCUUACUUAAUUUUUUUCUGUAAUAUUAAUCAGUAUUAUAUAUUAAUUAUUAAUAAACAUUUAGAAGUAUAUUAACUUAAAUUUACUUAUACUUACUUGAUAUUUAUUAAUAAAUUUACUCAGAAAUAAUAAAUUCAGCUUACCUGUAGCUAAUUAUUAACCUAACUUAGAUUUUUGCCUUAAGUUUACUUUGGAAACCGACUGCCUUAUUUUUUCAAAGUUUUUUUAAGUAAACUGAACUUAUUUCGAAUUUACAGUGAAGUAUGGUUGCUGAUUGAUUGUUAUUGUUUUUUUUAUUGUACAUAAAUACAUGAUCACUGAGAAAACAUUGCAGAACUUGAUAUCAUUGAUCAUAUCAACUACUAUUAAAGGGGGUAACAGUUGCAUCAA